GCCAAGAAAAGUUCUUUCAGUCAUUGCUUCUAUUUUCUGUUUCUUUUUCUUUCUUUCUUUGUUUGUUCCAUCGUGGCUUGCGGUUCCUUCUUUUCAUCUUGCUUUUUCAUUAUUUAUUUAUUUAUUUUAUUUCUCAAUCUGUUCUUGAUUCUUGGGUUAUUGUGCUUCCAAUUUCAUUAUUGCGUUUGGUGGAUCAACUCCUGCUGUGCUGUUUCAAAUUUUCGAGUAUUCGUAAGUAAAUGCUUUAAUCAUUCUUUUGGUACAUGGAUUAAUCUCGUGAGACUUUUGUUAUUAGGUGUUAAUCAAGUAGGUCACAACUCCACUUCUGGGAUAAAGUUGUGCUGGGCUUGUCCUGUCUGUUUGGGUUCUUGAAGCCUUGUGGUAGAUUUUGUAUCAGAAAAUACCAGGUGUGUUAUGAAAAUAUGAGAAAUCAGCAAUUGGUGAAAAGUCAAAAUUGAAAUAGUCAUACUACACAGCCUAUGUGACAAGCGCGUGUGUGUCACACGGUCUAGGCUGUAUGGGCUACACAGGCUUGUGGGUCCAUUUUUUGAAAUUUUCAUUUUUUCUUGUUUUGUUUUGUGAACCCUAUUUAGCCUCUCUGUAGGGUCCGUACUGCUUAAUUAAGACCUGAAAACAAGGGAUCGGUGAAUAUGUUUCUGUGUUGAAGUGUUUAGGUUAUUUGUAAUAUGUAUAUUUGCAUGUUAUGAUAUUAGUAGUUUUGAUGGUAUGUUUUGGUUCGCUAUGCUUGUAUAAGCUUGUAUAAUGUAUGAUGAUGUUAAAUUGCAUCUC